rnacentral:rRNA from 1 species
ACUGCGAGUGAAGCGGCAAAAGCUCAAAUUUGAAAUCUGGUACCUUUGGAUGCCCGAGUUGUAAUUUGGAGAGGCAACUUCGGAGGGGGCGCUGGCCUAAGUUCCUUGGAACAGGACGUCACAGAGGGUGAGAAUCCCGUGCUUGGCUGGCUGUCCUCCUUCAUGUGAAGUGUCUUCGACGAGUCGAGUUGUUUGGGAAUGCAGCUCAAAAUGGGUGGUAAACUCCAUCUAAGGCUAAAUAUUGGCGAGAGACCGAUAGCGCACAAGUAGAGUGAUCGAAAGAUGAAAAGCACUUUGAAAAGAGAGUUAAACAGUACGUGAAAUUGUUGAAAGGGAAGCGCUUGAGACCAGACUCGGUGAGAGGUGAUCAGCGGUUGCUUCUGCUCCGUGCACUUGCCUGUUAUCGGGCCAGCAUCAGUUGCGACGGCGGGAUAAAGCUUUGAGGAAUGUGGCUCCCUUCGGGGAGUGUUAUAGCCUUGGGGGUAAUGCCGCCUGUUGCGACUGAGGACCGCGCUUCGGUUAGGAUGCUGGCAUAAUGGUCUUCAGCGACCCGUCUUGAAACACGGACCAAGGAGUCUAACAUCUAUGCGAGUGUUCGGGUGGAAAACCCCUACGCGUAAUGAAAGUGAACGGAGGUGGGAACUCUUUGGAGUGCACCAUCGACCGAUCCUGAUGUCUUCGGAUGGAUUUGAGUAGGAGCAUAGCUGUUGGGACCCGAAAGAUGGUGAACUAUGCCUGAAUAGGGUGAAGCCAGAGGAAACUCUGGUGGAGGCUCGCAGCGGUUCUGACGUGCAAAUCGAUCGUCAAAUUUGGGUAUAGGGGCGAAAGACUAAUCGAACCAUCUAGUAGCUGGUUCCU